CGUCUCCAUAUUUUUAGGUUGUGAGUACGGCGACCGAGAUAAUAACUGCCACACUUACUCUCAUUCUCUUUGUUCAAAUGUUUACUACCAAAAUGUUUGCUGUGAUUACUGUUUAUCUGUCAACGGAAAGCGUUGGCUUGAGCCAGGAAAUUAAAAUUACCAUCGAGAAAUUAACUAAAGCUAGAUGAUGAAAUGCAAAUUGUAUUUCUGAACUCUAUUCGUAUCUCAGAAAAGAUCAAUGUGUUCAAAUUCUUGAAAAUAAACAAUUACACAAGGCUCUGUAAAAAUUAA
rnacentral:sRNA from 1 species